CCUAAUUGAUACAAUAUGAAACGAAGGGUUUAGCCUCAAUAGAUCAAAUGCAAUUAAAAUUUUAUAUCAGACUUGUCAUUGAUAUUUUUUGUCCGAUUGUCAGCCCAAAUAUUUUCGUUUUAACGAACAUCUUGAACAACAGAGACUAGUAGUAAUUAGACAUCCAACCCGAGCUUUCAGAUUUUUUUUCAACUUCCUACACGCCAACCAAACCGAACAGACGUGGGAUUGUGGGGCUCAAAUUAUCCACUUACAUUUCGACAGUAGGAUUUAUACGACCUCCGGCAUUAGAAAACUAUACUUGAAUUCAAGAAAAAUUGGACGAUGGGGUCCAGAUUUUUUCAUGCCUCUCCCCUUUCCAUAUGAAAUAAAUGUAACAUUCAGAGUUCAAAUCACGCUUCGCCAAAACCAAUUUCAGUUCCUCUUCAAUGACAAGGAUUCUUACAAUUAUGACUACUCAACUGAUGGAAUAAAAAUCAUAUGCUAUCAUGACAGCGUGGUAGUCCAUACCAUCUAUACAACAUAGAAAUCAAAUUUUAAAAUGUAUGAACUUUGUAUGAUUAAAGUUCC